CAUUAUAGAAUAAAAUUGAACGGGCUGUUGCUCUCCUUAUGGUGGUGCACGCCUGUCAUAUUUAUCUCUCCCACUGUGCACAUUUUGUAGACCUGGUGUUUGGGAAUUGCUGUAGUCAGCUUUGCCCUUUGCCCUUGCCAGUCUAUGUUAUUUUAUCACAACCUCUGAAUGUUUUGAACUUUUUAUGAUGGAAAUUAUAUACAACUUUCAGCAACGGAUCUCUUGGCUCUCGCAUCGAUGAAGAACGCAGCGAAAUGCGAUAAGUAAUGUGAAUUGCAGAAUUCAGUGAAUCAUCGAAUCUUUGAACGCAUCUUGCGCUUCUUGGUAUUCCAAGGAGCAUGCCUGUUUGAGUGUCAUUAAAGUUCUCAAAACCCACAUGCUUGUCAUGUGGAAUUUUGGAUAUGGGGGUUUGCAGGCUUUUUAAAGUUGGCUCCUCUGAAAUGUAUUAGUGGUAUCUGUGUGGACUACAGGUGUGAUAAAUAAAAUCUAUGCCUUGCCCCUCACCGUGCUGCUUCUUCUGACGAGUUGGGAUUGACAAAUUUGACCUCAAAUCAGGUAGGACUACCCGCUGAACUUAA
rnacentral:rRNA from 1 species